AACGAACGCUGGCGGCAUGCCUAACACAUGCAAGUCGAACGGGAUCCUAGCUUGCUAGGUGAGAGUGGCGGACGGGUGAGUAACACGUGGGAAUCUGCCUUUUGGUUCGGGAUAACCGCGGGAAACUGCGGCUAAUACCGAAUGCCCUCGAGAGAGGAAAGAUUUAUCGCCAGAAGAGGAGCCCGCGUCCGAUUAGGUAGUUGGUGGGGUAAAGGCCUACCAAGCCGACGAUCGGUAGCUGGUCUGAGAGGAUGAUCAGCCACACUGGGACUGAGAUACGGCCCAGACUCCUACGGGAGGCAGCAGUGGGGAAUAUUGGACAAUGGGGCAACCCUGAUCCAGCAAUGCCGCGUGAGUGAUGAAGGCCUUAGGGUUGUAAAGCUCUUUUGCCAGGGAAGAUGAUGACUGUACCUGGAGAAUAAGCCCCGGCUAACUUCGUGCCAGCAGCCACGGU
rnacentral:rRNA from 1 species